rnacentral:rRNA from 1 species
AGCGAACGCUGGCGGCGUGCUUAACACAUGCAAGUCGAACGUGAACGGGGGCAACCCUUAGUAAAGUGGCGUACGGGUGAGUAACGCGUAGACAAUCUACCUAAGUGUUUGGAAUAACCUGCCGAAAGGCGGGCUAAUACUGGAUAGAGCGAUGGAACUCGUAAUGAGUUUUUCGGGAAAGGGAGGCAGCAAUGCCCCUCGCACUUAGAUGAGUCUGCGUCCCAUCAGCUAGUUGGUAAGGUAACGGCUUACCAAGGCGAUGACGGGUAGCUGGUCUGAGAGGAUGAUCAGCCACACUGGAACUGAAACACGGUCCAGACUCCUACGGGUGGCAG